rnacentral:lncRNA from 1 species
UCAAUCUAUCUUGUAUGGCGUCUUUCGAUUCUAGAGACACUUUACACGCAUUAACCCAUUGCAGGUCCAGAGCCCAGCUCCUCUGUGGUCAGUCAGUAUCGGUCAGUACCGUGUCCCUGCAGGUCCAGAGCCCAGCUCCUCUGUGGUCAGUCAGUGUCGGUCAGUACUGUGUCCCGCAGGUCCAGAGCUGAGUAGUGUCUAAGAAAUCGAAACUGAAACUGUGGAUAUGAAGAAUAAACAAGUCGUUUACU